UGGUGGAACCUAUCAUGAUUCAUAUUUAUCUACGAUCAUUGCAGAGGUCACCAUUCACCAACUUAUGGAUUUAUAUAAACUGUGAGCUCUAGAUGUUCACUUCCCACAUAGUUUUGUAUAUAUUUACAUGUCUGUCUUGAUUGCAUAUAAAUACAAAGAGAUGUGGUGUUCUCAUUGUUGAAUGAUAUCUGGAUAGUUUGGAAUGGAGACACGAGCUUGAUUGAGUUUUUAGCUCUCUAGAACAGUUUUUUGGUUCUUUUCCAUGGUAUGAUCUCUUUGUAAAAUUCCUUUUUGCCAAACCUAAUACAUAAAAUGGUUUUCUCAUGUAAUGAUUUUGAGAGGCAAAGGCUUAAAUUGUGCUUGCGUAAACAGAAAUUUUGAGUCUCCUAUUCUGUUUCCUCUUUUGUGGCUUGAAAAUGAACUCUAUGAACUAGUAUGUAUACUCGUCUUAGUUUAGUUUUUCAGUCCUUGCAGAGAUUUGGUUCUCAAGAACCAGAAAACUCUGUAAAGAAGAUUUCUUGCUUGCCUCAACCUAGUUGUACACAAGAAGAGAGUCAAAUGCAAAUCUCAAGAUCUUCAUCCAAUCUAAUGCGGAAAUGGAAUUCUGCUUCUGUUACAGAUCAUAGAAGUCAGAUUAGUGAAGAACUUGAACAUCGAAUUGGAUUGAUGGAAACUUCAUUAAACAGGUUUGGAAUGAUCCUGGAUUCUGUUCAGAGCGAUGGCAUGCAACUAAACAAAGGAAUGAAAGAAGUUUCACUGGAGAUGGACAGCAUACGGCGGAAACUGAUUGUUCGAGAUAACUUUCUGCAGUCAGUGGUAAAGCCUUCUGAUGUGAUGUUUGAGAUAUGGUUUCUUCUAACACGAUUGAGAUAUGGUAAACCAGAACAAGGGACAUGAAGAUUUGAAAGCUAGCGUUGCUGGGGGAUUUAAGUUGAUAUCUGAUCGGCUUAGCAAAGAUAUAUAUCAAGAGUUCAAGACAAGUUACAGGAGAUUUUCAAGGUGGUCUCAACCUUACCACAGCAGGUGGAAGCAUCUAUAUUGAGAUUACAAGAUAAGCUCGGCAACACCCUCUUCAAAGAAGUGCAAGCAAUGGCUUGCAGCCUGAAGACUCCUAACCAAUAAUCUAUAGCAGCCUCUGUCCUCCUCCGAGAGGUGCUUUAUUCUUAUUGGAUAAUGACCCAUGAGCUUCUUUAAGUAAUCUGUGUAGUGAAUGUGUGAUCUCAAAAAACCUCUUACAUUUAUCAAUCUGCAGGGUACUGACCAACGUGAUACUUCACAGAGAUAUGCAAAGCCUCCUAGGGAGUAUGUAAAACUCAGUUUUUUUUCUGUUGGAUAUAGUCCUGCUUAAUUGGACAAGUUACAUCCCCUAUCCGAUCCUCAGAAAUAAUGUGAUCUCCCUAAAUGUUUCAAGUAUCAACUGAAACUUAAAGUCUAGCUUCUAGGAUAUAUUCUUUACUUCUCUUUACCUGCCCCUGCCCUGGAGAGGGCUAGAAAGGAUUUCUUUUUUAUUCGUAAGUUACAUGCACACACUCAAUGUUGAACCCAUGAUCUCAUCCUUCAUCUUUCUUAUAAAAUAAGGAGUGUCAUUUAAGCU